GACGAACGCUGGCGGCGUGCUUAACACAUGCAAGUCGAACGGAAAGGCCCUGCUUUUGUGGGGUGCUCGAGUGGCGAACGGGUGAGUAACACGUGAGUAACCUGCCCUUGACUUUGGGAUAACUUCAGGAAACUGGGGCUAAUACCGGAUAGGAGCUCCUGCUGCAUGGUGGGUGUUGGAAAGUUUCGGUGGUUGGGGAUGGACUCGCGGCUUAUCAGCUUGUUGGUGGGGUAGUGGCUUACCAAGGCUUUGACGGGUAGCCGGCCUGAGAGGGUGACCGGCCACAUUGGGACUGAGAUACGGCCCAGACUCCUACGGGAGGCAGCAGUGGGGAAUAUUGCACAAUGGGCGGAAGCCUGAUGCAGCAACGCCGCGUGCGGGAUGACGGCCUUCGGGUUGUAAACCGCUUUCGCCUGUGACGAAGCGUGAGUGACGGUAAUGGGUAAAGAAGCACCGGCUAACUACGUG
rnacentral:rRNA from 1 species